UCAAAAAAUCUUUAUUAUAUCACUUAGAUCAAUAGCUAGGAGGUGAACUAAAAUUAUUUGGCUACUGCAAAUGGAGCGGCUAUAACAUGAAAUAAUCUAUCUACAAAAGGGAAUCAGAUUACAACAGCGUCGAUUUCUUUAUGAGAAUGUAACCGAGUAACACUAUUCUCCUCCUGUUUCUGUAAAAGAGCAUUGAAAGAGCAUCACAAAAUUAGUAAUAUUCCAUAGAUUCGUCGCGAAAUGUUGUAAAAUGCGGAUAAUAUAGCCCUGCGAAGUUUGCCGUUUUUCAGUCAUCUUGUAUUACGCACGGGAAAUUGAUACCUUUAUUCAGAAAGCGCUAUCAAUUUCCCUUGCGUAAUACAAAAUGACUGAAAAACG
rnacentral:lncRNA from 1 species